GACGAACGCUGGCGGCGUGCCUAAUACAUGCAAGUAGAACGCAGUUGCGAACGGGUGAGUAACGCGUAGGUAACUGCCUCAUAGCGGGGGAUAACUAUUGGAAACGAUAGCUAAUACCGCAUACUGGGAGAUGGACCUGCGUUGUAUUAGCUAGUUGGUGAGGUAAAGGACCACCAAGGCGACGAUACAGAGCCGACCUGAGAGGGUGGUCGGCCACACUGGGACUGAGACACGGCCCAGACUCCUAAGGUGGGCAGCAGUUGGGAAUCUUCGGCAAUGGACGGAAGUCUGACCGAGCAAAGCCGCGUGAGUGAAGAAGGUUUUUGGAUCUUAAAGCUCUGUUGGUAGAGAAGCGGUACCUAACCAGAAAGGGCCGGCUAACUACGUGCCAGCCGCCGCGGUAAUAC
rnacentral:rRNA from 1 species